CACGUAGGGACCAAGCGUUGUCCGGGUUUAUUGGGCGUAAAGAGCUCGUAGGCGGUCGUGUAAGUCGGGUGUGAAAUCUCCGGGCUCAACUCGGAGGGGCCACCCGAUACUGCUCGACUCGAGUCCGGUAGGGGAGUGGGGAAUUCCUGGUGUAGCGGUGAAAUGCGCAGAUAUCAGGAGGAACACCGGUGGCGAAGGCGCCACUCUGGGCCGGUACUGACGCUGAGGAGCGAAAGCGUGGGUAGCAAACAGG
rnacentral:rRNA from 1 species